AAUCUAUGUUGCGGGCACUUUCUCAGGAGCUCCUUCAACCUUUCUCACGUCUCAAAUAGAGACUCCAAUUCGAAUUAUACAAAGGAUGAGAUCUUAUUCCUAAACUU